GACGAACCGUGCGAACGUUGUUCGGAAUCACUGGGCUUAAAGGGCGCGUAGGCGGACCUCCAAGUCCGGGGUGAAAUCUUUCGGCUUAACCGGAAAGUGCCUUGGAUACUGGGGGUCUCGAGGGAGGCAGGGGCGGAUGGAACUUCCGGUGGAGCGGUGAAAUGCGUUGAUAUCGGAAGGAACGCCGGUGGCGAAAGCGAUCCGCUGGACCUCUACUGACGCUGAGGCGCGAAAGCCAGGGGAGCAAACGGG
rnacentral:rRNA from 1 species